GACAGAGGGUGCAAACGUUGCUCGGAAUCACUGGGCGUAAAGGGCGUGUAGGCGGGAAGGAAAGUCAGAUGUGAAAUCCCCCAGGCUCAACCUGGGAACUGCAUUUGAAACUCCCUUUCUUGAGUACCGGAGAGGAAAGUGGAAUUCCUGGUGUAGAGGUGAAAUUCGUAGAUAUCAGGAGGAACACCAGUGGCGAAGGCGGCUUUCUGGACGGUAACUGACGCUGAGACGCGAAAGCGUGGGAGGCAAACAGG
rnacentral:rRNA from 1 species